UCCGAAAACCCUCUCAUUUCUUCCGCCUCUCCGUCUCCCCUCCCGAGAGCUCCCAAAACCCUACCGUCCUCCUCUUCCUCCUAGCGGCUCCGGCGAAGCCAAACCCAAGCUCGGUGCCGCCAUCUCUCCUUCCCUCCGUUGAAGCCAAGCUCCGGUGAAGCCACAGAUCAGUUGUUGUGUUGGUCCAGGUGGGAAUUCAAUAGAAUGGAAGGAAUCACAAAGAGUCAUACCCUCCGACAAUAGCUGCCUAUUCAAUGCUGCUGGGUAUGUAAUGGAUCACGACAAGCACCGAGCUCCAGAGCUCAGUCAGGUUAUAGCUGCAACAGUGGUGAGUGAUCCAAGAAAAUAUAACCAAGCAUUUCUUGGAAAAUCAAAUGAAGAAUAUUGUGGCUGGAUUUUGAAUCCCGAGAAGUGGGGAGGAAUCUGGCAUGGAUUGGAUAAUACAUCUCGACACCGACGAGUUAAUGCAUCCUGCUGGUGCUCGAGAGUACUCUUUAAGGUGGUUGCUGUUGGAUGUCUCUAGUGAUGUUAAUAUGGUUAUCUUUCGGAAUUAUGUAAGUUAGACUAUUGCCUAUUACAUUUAACAAUGAUUUAUAUGUUGCAUAUAUGGUAACCCUUUUUCUUAACAGGAAAGUUGCGUUGAGCGAGAUGAUAUAAAGGAUCCUUUCCGCGAGAUAAAUAGUGUGCCAUUCUUU